rnacentral:rRNA from 1 species
AACGAACGCUGGCGGCGUGUCUUAAGCAUGCAAGUCGUGCGGCAAGGGUAGCAAUACCCCUAGAGCGGCGGACUGGUGAGUAACACGUGGGUGACCUGCCUCUGGGAUGGGGAUAGCCACUAGAAAUAGUGGGUAAUACCGAAUACGUUCACCGGACUGUGGUUUGGUGAAGAAAGGCGCUUCGGCGCCACCCGGAGAUGGGCCUGCGUCCCAUUAGCUAGUUGGUGAGGUAAAGGCCCACCAAGGCGAUGAUGGGUAUCCGGCCUGAGAGGGUGUACGGACACAUUGGGACUGAGAUACGGCCCAAACUCCUACGGGAGGCAGCAGCUAAGAAUAUUCCGCAAUGGACGAAAGUCUGACGGAGCGACGCCGCGUGGAUGAUGAAGGCCGAAAGGUUGUAAAAUCCUUUUGUUGGGGAAGAAUAAGCAUGGGAGGUAAUGCCCGUGUGAUGACAUGAACCGACGAAUAAGC